rnacentral:rRNA from 1 species
GACGAACGCUGGCGGCGUGCUUAACACAUGCAAGUCGAACGGAAAGGCCCUGCUUUUGUGGGGUGCUCGAGUGGCGAACGGGUGAGUAACACGUGAGUAACCUGCCCUUGACUUUGGGAUAACUUCAGGAAACUGGGGCUAAUACCGGAUAGGAGCUCCUGCUGCAUGGUGGGGGUUGGAAAGUUUCGGCGGUUGGGGAUGGACUCGCGGCUUAUCAGCUUGUUGGUGGGGUAGUGGCUUACCAAGGCUUUGACGGGUAGCCGGCCUGAGAGGGUGACCGGCGUCAAUGGGCCUGCGAGAGGCACCAGUCUCGUAUGGGAGGCAACGGUCGGGAGCCUUGCGCAACGGGGGGAAGUCUGUGAUAGAAGCGUUGGGUUCGUGAUGCCGUGUUUCGAGUGAUAAACCGAUGUGGAAGGAAAUGAAGAGUGCGUGACGGUACUGAGUAAAAAAGCACCGGCUAACUACGUG